rnacentral:rRNA from 1 species
UACGGAGGAUGCAAGUGUUAUCCGGAAUCACUGGGCGUAAAGCGUCUGUAGGUGGUUUAAAAAGUCUAUGGUUAAAAGUUGAAGCUUAACUUCAAAGAUGCCGUGGAAACUUUUAGACUAGAGUAUGGUAGGGGUAGAGGGAAUUUCCAGUGAAGCGGUGAAAUGCGUAGAUAUUGGAAAGAACACCAAUGGCGAAGGCACUUACUGG